rnacentral:rRNA from 1 species
GACGAACGCUGGCGGCGUGCCUAAUACAUGCAAGUAGAACGCUGAAGAGAGGAGCUUGCUCUUCUUGGAUGAGUUGCGAACGGGUGAGUAACGCGUAGGUAACCUGCCUUGUAGCGGGGGAUAACUAUUGGAAACGAUAGCUAAUACCGCAUAACAAUGGAUGACACAUGUCAUUUAUUUGAAAGGGGCAAUUGCUCCACCACAAGAUGGACCUGCGUUGUAUUAGCUAGUAGGUGAGGUAAUGGCUCACCUAGGCGACGAUCCAUAGCCUACCUGAGAGGUUGGUCGGCCACACUGGGCCUGAGACACGGCCCAUACUCCUACGGGAGGCAGCAGUAGGGAAUCUUCGGCAAUGGGGGCAACGCUGACCGCGCAACGCCGCGUGAGUGCAGAAGGUUUUCGGAUCGUAAAGCUCUGUUUGAAGUCAAGAACGGGUGUGAGAGUGGAAAGUUCACGCUGUGACGGUAGCUUAUCAGAAAGGGACGGCUAACUACGUG